GUAGGUGGCAAGCGUUGUCCGGAAUUGUUGGGCGUAAAGCGCGCGCAGGCGGUUCUUUAAGUCUGAUGUGAAAGCCCACGGCUCAACCGUGGAGGGUCAUUGGAAACUGGAGAACUUGAGUACAGAAGAGGAAAGCGGAAUUCCACGUGUAGCGGUGAAAUGCGUAGAGAUGUGGAGGAACACCAGUGGCGAAGGCGGCUUUCUGGUCUGUAACUGACGCUGAGGCGCGAAAGCGUGGGGAGCAAACAGGGAUUAGAUACCCUGGUAGUCCACGCCGUAAACGAUGAGUGCUAAGUGUUAGGGGGUUUUCCGCCCCCUUAGUGCUGCAGCUAACGCAUUAAGCACUCCGCCUGGGGAGUACGGCCGCAAGGCUG
rnacentral:rRNA from 1 species